AUUGAACGCUGGCGGCAGGCCUAACACAUGCAAGUCGAGCGGCAGCGGGGGAAAGCUUGCUUUCCCGCCGGCGAGCGGCGGACGGGUGAGUAAUGUCUGGGAAACCGCCUGAUGGAGGGGGAUAACUACUGGAAACGGUAGCUAAUACCGCAUAACGUCUUCGGACCAAAGUGGGGGACCUUCGGGCCUCAUGCCAUCAGAUGUGCCCAGAUGGGAUUAGCUAGUAGGUGGGGUAACGGCUCACCUAGGCGACGAUCCCUAGCUGGUCUGAGAGGAUGACCAGCCACACUGGAACUGAGACACGGUCCAGACUCCUACGGGAGGCAGCAGUGGGGAAUAUUGCACAAUGGGCGCAAGCCUGAUGCAGCCAUGCCGCGUGUAUGAAGAAGGCCUUCGGGUUGUAAAGUACUUUCAGCGGGGAGGAAGGUGUUGUGGUUAAUAACCAGAGCAAUUGACGUUACCCGCAGAAGAAGCACCGGCUAACUCCGUGCCAGCAGCCGCUGUAACAC
rnacentral:rRNA from 1 species